AUGCGGAGGUUUUUGUUUGUUUGUUUGUUUUGGCACCAGGGGUUGAACUCAGGGACAAUGGACCACUGGGCCACGCCCCCAGCCCUCAAGAUCCUCCUGCCUCAGCCUCCCGAGCCGCCGCACCAGGGCCCRCGGCUCAGUUUGUCUUCUAAGGCGUCUCCUCCAGCGUGUGGCCGCAGCAGUGCAGAGCGGGAGGCCAGGACACAGGCAGGAAGAGCCAGGCAGGGGCGGAGCUGGGAGGAAGCCUCUGACCCAGAGAGCCCUGUCUGCCCCUCAGGAGUGACCCUCAGCUGGUUGGCAGCCCUGGAAUAGCAGAGUGACCAGCAAGGGCCUCCUGGGGGGACAUGGGGGAGAAGCGUCCCUUUAGGUCGACGGUGUCCCAGCUCACCCUGGAUCUUGAGCUCAGGGUGCCACUGGUGGGGCCUCUGAAGAGGCCGCCCGUCUUUCAUCUUCCCGGACUUGAGGCCUGGACUUUCCUGUUUCUGCUCUGAAACUGCCUGGAAACCACCAAGCCGUGUGCAAGCACCGCGUCCAGCUGUGAGCACCUACUGUGUGCCAGGCUCCCGAUAGGCCCGGCCUCAUUCCACCCCAGCCUUCCCGUGGGGCAGGUGCUGGGGCAGGAACCGAGGCUGCGAGGCUGGAUGGGCGACCUCACCUGCCCAUGCCACGUGGCCGSAGGCGGGUGCUUCAGCCACAGCGCUGCCGCCUGCUCCCGGCACCGGCACCUGCCGCGGGUCUCGGGACUCCACCAAGGCCUGGCCCUCCUUCKGCCUGAUUGUCAUUAGGGCAGAAAAGGGGCGGUCCCUGAGGGUGCCACUUUCUCAGAAUUACCCUAUUGGGGACUCCCUCCUGGGGUCAGGGGACCAGGCUCCCAGGUGAGCCCCUCUUUCUGCCAACCUGGCCAUCCGGGGGCCUGGCGGGGAUCCAGGCUGGGGAAGGGCUCUCCGUCCCGUCCCCUGGGGAAGGACUGGCUGCCCAGCCCGGGCCAGGCGCAGGGAGGGCUUCGGGGUCUGGAUUCCAAGAGCCGAGCCUGGAGGGCGGAGGGCGGAGUCUGAGCCCCGGCGGGCAGUGGGCAG
rnacentral:lncRNA from 1 species